rnacentral:rRNA from 1 species
GAUGAACGCUGGCGGCGUGCCUAAUACAUGCAAGUCGAGCGAACAGACGAGUAGCUUGCUCCUCUGCCGUUAGCGGCGGACGGGUGAGUAACACGUGGAUAACCUACCUAUAAGACUUGGAUAACUUCGGGAAACCGGAGCUACUACCGGCUAAUAUAUUGAACCGCAUGGUUCAAUAGUUCAAGACGGUUUUGCUGUCACUUAUAGAUGGAUCCGCGCCGCAUUAGCUAGUUGGUAAGGUAACGGCUUACCAAGGCAACGAUGCGUAGCCGACCUGAGAGGGUGAUCGGCCACACUGGAACUGAGACACGGUCCAGACUCCUACGGGAGGCAGCAGUAGGGAAUCUUCCGCAAUGGGCGAAAGCCUGACGGAGCAACGCCGCGUGAGUGAUGAAGGUCUUCGGAUCGUAAAACUCUGUUAUUAGGGAAGAACAAAUGUGGAAGUAACUAUGCACGUCUUGACGGUACCUAAUCAGAAAGCCACGGCUAACUACGUG